rnacentral:rRNA from 1 species
GUGAGGUAACGGCUCACCAAGGCGACGACGGGUAGCUGGUCUGAGAGGACGACCAGCCACACUGGAACUGAGAUACGGUCCAGACUCCUACGGGAGGCAGCAGUGGGGAAUCUUGCGCAAUGGGCGAAAGCCUGAUGCAGCGACGCCGCGUGAGGGAUGAAGGCCUUCGGGUUGUAAACCUCUUUCAGCAGGGACGAAGCGAAAGUGACGGUACCUGCAGAAGAAGCGCCGGCCAACUACGUGCCAGCAGCCGCGGUAAGACGUAGGGCGCGAGCGUUGUCCGGAAUUAUUGGGCGUAAAGAGCUCGUAGGCGGCUUGUUGCGUCGGCUGUGAAAACCCGCGGCUCAACCGUGGGCUUGCAGCCGAUACGGGCAGGCUAGAAUUCGGUAGGGGAGACUGGAAUUCCUGGUGCAGCGGUGAAAUGCGCAGAUAUCAGGAGGAACACCGGUGGCGAAGGCGGGUCUCUGGGCCGAUAUUGACGCUGAGGAGCGAAAGCGUGGGGAGCGAACAGGAUUAGAUACCCUGGUAGUCCACGCUGUAAACGUUGGGCGCUAGGUGUGGGGGACCUCUCCGGUUCUCUGUGCCGCAGCUAACGCAUUAAGCG